rnacentral:misc_RNA from 1 species
GAAAUGCGAUAAGUAAUGUGAAUUGCAGAAUUCAGUGAAUCAUCGAAUCUUUGAACGCACCUUGCGCUCCUUGGUAUUCCGAGGAGCAUGCCUGUUUGAGUAUCAUGAAAUUCUCAACCCUUUCAGCUUUUUUGCUGAUCGGGCUUGGAUUGUGGGAGUUGCAGGCUUCACAGAAGUCUGCUCUUCUGAAAUGCAUUAGCAGGGGAACCUCUUGGUUAGCUCUGGUGUGAUAAUUAUCUACGCCUUGGCUUCAAAAGCAAGUCCCAGCUCAUAAUUGUCACUAGACAACUUCAUAACAUUUUGAUCUCAAAUCAGGUAGGACUACCCGCUGAACUUAA